GAAGAAGAAGAAGCUGACCAUCGAAGAGGAGAUGAGCAUCCGCCGUUGAAUAUAUCAUUUCAGUUAUCACUGUCCCGUAAAUAAAGACAAGCGUACAUUUUAGAUACACAGGCUACCCGUAUUUUUGUCAGUCCCUCACCAUGGCGACCGGUGCUGAUGUGAGGGAUAUUCUGGAGCUGGCAGGAGGAGACGAUUCAGGUCCCAUCAGCAAGAAGGACAUCAUCAACUCAGACAAGAAAAAAGCCAAGAAAGUGACAGAGACAUUAACGUUCAAGAGACCAGAAGGAAUGCACAGAGAAGUUUAUGCCUUGCUGUAUUCAGACAAAAAUCGGGAUGCCCCUCCCCUGUUACCAAGUGAUACUACGCAAGGCUACCGGACAGUGAAAGCAAAACUGGGCUGUAAGAAGGUGCGGCCCUGGAAGUGGAUGCCCUUUUCCAAUCCAGCCAGAAAAGAUGGAGCCAUCUUCCAUCACUGGAGACGUGCAGCAGAGGAAGGAAAGGACUACCCAUUUGCUCGCUUCAACAAGACUGUGCAGGUGCCUGCGUACUCAGAGCAGGAGUAUCAGAUGUAUCUUCAUGACGAUGGAUGGACGAAAGCUGAAACAGAUCACCUGUUUGACUUGUGCAAACGUUUCGACCUGCGAUUUAUUGUUAUCCAUGAUCGCUAUGAUCACCAGCAGUAUAGAAAGCGUUCUGUGGAGGAUCUUAAGGAGCGUUAUUACAGCAUUUGUGGCAAACUGACAAAAGUUCGGGCAGGAACAGGGACAGAACCUAAGAUCUACAUAUUUGAUGCUGGUCAUGAGAGACGCAGGAAAGAGCAGCUCGAGAGACUUUUCAACCGCACUCCAGAGCAGGUGGCAGAAGAGGAAUACCUGAUCCAGGAGCUGAGGAAGAUUGAGACACGUAAGAAGGAGCGUGAAAAGAAGACCCAGGACCUCCAGAAGCUCAUUACAGCAGCUGACACGACGACAGAGAUGCGCAGAGCUGAACGUAAAGCCACCAAGAAGAAGCUGCCGCAGAAACGAGAGACGGAAAAACCUGCUGUUCCUGAAACCGCAGGCAUCAAAUUCCCAGACUUCAAAUCUGCUGGUGUUUCACUACGGAGUCAGAGAAUGAAGCUGCCCAGCUCAGUUGGUCAGAAGAAAAUAAAAGCAAUUGAACAGAUCCUGACGGAGCAAGGAGUGGACCUCAACCCCAUGCCCACAGAGGAGAUUGUGCAGAUGUUUAAUGAACUUCGCAGCGACCUGGUCCUGGUUUAUGAGUUGAAGCAGGCCUACAGUAACUGUGAGUACGAACAGCAGAUGUUGCGGCACCGCUAUGACGCUCUGCUAAAAACAGGGAGCGCCGUCACACCACAGAGCGAGAGCGGUGGAGCACCUGACAGUCAAUCUUGGCCCGGCGCCGAUGACAUCAAAACCGAAGCCAAAGAGCAGAUUAUUGAUGUGGUUGGAGCUCCACUCACUCCAAAUUCGCGCAAACGCAGAGAAUCUGCUUCGAGUUCCUCAUCUAUCAAGAAGGUGAAGAAACCAUGACAUAAAUGACUUGGUAAACUCAAUUGGACAUUUUUGGAAGAGGAUAGAGAGACCAAACCUCUACCAUGACACAGACCACCCUUGACAACCUAUUCCAUUAUACAACCUCUUCUGUCCAACCAGGCAGCCCAAACCCAGAUGAACUGUAAAUUGGCAAAGAGAGCUAAUCGGCACAUGACAAGACAGAAGCAAGCAGACAGAAAAAAUAAAAGUCUGCUUGUCUGUCUGAAAUGAAUGUAUGCUGGACAGAUGGUAUGAGUCUGGAUCCUGUUGGGGAAUUUAUUGAAAGAGUGUUUGCUUUUUGGCUGCAUCGUGAAACAGUAGGCUCUGGAAAAAUGUCUCAUUUUUUGGAGGUGUCCCUGUCUAACUGGCGUCUUUACGUCUGCCAUUCUGAUUUGCCUGUUUUCACCUGCAAUCCUGCAUUUUCUCAGAAGAGCCAGAGUGUCACCUAUCUCAAAUAGAUGCUCAUGUUGAGCUUGUUACCUGUUAAAUGUCCUUGUGUUUAAUAAAUGUUUUUUCGCGUCGCUUGUUAA